rnacentral:antisense_RNA from 1 species
UUUCAAGCUGUGUGUUCUGCGGGGGCAGGGAGAGCUGCAAUGGCUCAUCUUUCAGGACAUGCUGCAAAGGGCCUUUGAAGUCAUCCGCCCUGCUCUUGGCACCUUGCGCCUGGAGCUGAGCUCUUCCAAAAAUGACCCCUGCGCAUUCCGUGGUGCGGCCGCCCAGCCCAGGCAGUCGCGGUCCAGAGCAGGGGAAGCAGCAGCGCGGCCGGCAGCUGGGAGAGCCGAGGCCCCGAGGGAGGACCCUGCCUCAAGCCAAGCAACCAGGCCCUGCGGCCCUCUCCCCACCGCCGUGCGGCCCUGGCGCAGGGAACCGGGACGGGGCUUUCCGGCCUUGAAGGGCACACUUACUCCACCAAACAUUCCCAUCGUCGGCUGAUGGAGGGCCUCGAGCUGGGCGCUGUGGAUGCCCUUCUAGAGAGACCUGCCAGACUGAGCUGCUUCCAUCAGCCAGACAUGAGGAUAAGAGCAUUUAGUGAGGAAAUUGCCUAAUCAUUUGCAGGCUAAGAGGAAAGACCGCACUGCAGCACAACUUAUUUGAAUAGGAAGCACCAAGACUUCUUAUCUUAAUGCUAACGACCGCCCGUUUAUGUUAGACGAUCCCCUGGGCGUCUUUCCUUUUGUCUCCUUGAGUUUGAACCCUUAAGACCACCUGAACGGUGGGGAAAUCCUCCCUCAACGUGCGUGGCUCAUCUCGCCACGAGGGGGCGCUCCCAGAUCAGAGACACGCGGCUGCCGCCCACCCACCUCGCGGCCUCCACCUCCGGUGCGUGCAUCAUCUUCGCGCACCUGCCCAGAGGGCGGGGCCGGGGGCGGGGGUCUCCUGCCCCAUUAAGACUCCCUGAAGUCCAGGUGCAGCCCUGAAGGCUAGAGCAAGGUCACUACCGAGGCAAGAUGUUCUGUGAGACGUCCCGGGAUCUCUGUGAAAACUCUGGACCUCUGGGAAGUCAAUGGGGACUGCACUGAGGGCCUACUGUGUGCCAGGGCUUUAUGUAACCCAAGUUAUUCACUCCACAAACACUGAGGGCCUGCAGAGGUGGCUGUCCAAGAAGGGAAGGAAGCUGAGGGUGAAGGAGGGAGCCUGACCCUCAGACCAGUUUCCCUGGCAGCCGGCAGAGCAUUCUGCAGCACGUUGCCAAGCAAGAAAGUGGUCUCAGCUGUGCACUAGCUUCAGCCUGCUCCUAGGGGAGCUCUGGAGUGGGAGCUGCACUACCACGAGGGCGUCAAAUGAGAAGUGUAUUGAUAUCCCAGCAGACCUCAAUAUCCUUUUUCAUCUUCCCGCUAUAACCAGAAUAUGUGCGCAAGCAGUGCAGGAGCUCUUCUUUUUAGAGUGCAAUAAAUGAACUUCAACCCCUCUCGAGAAGUGAGUAAAGAGGCAGCCCUAGGACACAGAGACAGUGCAGUGAGGCUGCCGUGACUUAUCGCCCAGGAACCCACUGAUUGAGUAACUUUGGACAAAGCCUCGAGCAAAGAUAACUGUUUAAGUGGCUGCGGCAGCGGAAAAAUCAGUUUGGCUGAUUGAUGUCCUGGGUUUCUUGUUAGUGGGUGGCUUCCAGCCAUGGCUCUGCCUCAGCUCCCAGAAUUACUCCAAUAAGUGAUUUGCUCAUCCCUAACUCUUCUGAGGGGGUGGGGAGAGGGAGCUGAAUCAGCCUUCUCACAACCCUGAUUGGGAUUUAAUAGGGGACUAGUGGGCAUUGGUGCACUGGGGGCAAUGUGGGGAGAGGAGCAGAUUUGUCAGGCUUGGCAAAAAUAUCUGGCUCCUGCCUGUGGGUGUGGAGGGGAAAAUAAAGUCAGAAAAGAAGCGA